GGCGGAGUCUACUUGCGGUUGAAGUUGUCGGCGGAGUCCGGCUCCCGUAGGAGUCCGGACGAAGUCUGUCUGCAGCCGUUGGAGUCGAGGACGAAGCCCGGCUCCCGUAGGAGUCCGGGCGAAGUCUUCCUGCAAUUAAAGUCAAAGGCGAAGUUCGGCUCCCGUAGGAGUCCGGACAAGGCUUACCGGCAGUUGAUGUUGAGGACGGAGCCCGGCUCCCGUAGGAGUUCGGGCGGAGUCUAC
rnacentral:lncRNA from 1 species